GACGAACGCUGGCGGUAUGCUUAACACAUGCAAGUCGAACGAGAAGCUUGCUUAUGAACCUUCGGGCGAUUAGGAAAGCGGAAAGUGGCGAACGGGUGAGUAACGCGUGGGUAACCUACCUCAUGGAAAGGAAUAGCCUCGGGAAACUGGGAGUAAAGCCUUAUAUUAUCAUCGUGCCGCAUGACAAGAUGAUGAAAACUCCGGUGCCAUGAGAUGGACCCGCGUCCCAUUAGCUAGUUGGUGAGAUAACAGCCCACCAAGGCGACGAUGGGUAGCCGGUCUGAGAGGGCGAACGGCCACACUGGAACUGAGACACGGUCCAGACUCCUACGGGAGGCAGCAGUGGGAAAUAUUGCGCAAUGGGGGCAACCCUGACGCAGCAAUACCGCGUGAGUGAAGAAGGUUUUCGGAUCGUAAAGCUCUGUUAUUGGGGAAGAAGAAGUGACGGUACCCAAUGAGGAAGUCCCGGCUAACUACGUGCCAGCAGCCGCGGUAAAG
rnacentral:rRNA from 1 species